rnacentral:rRNA from 1 species
GACGAACGCUGGCGGCGUGCUUAACACAUGCAAGUCGAACGAUGAAGCUGGAGCUUGCUCCAGUGGAUUAGUGGCGAACGGGUGAGUAACACGUGAGCAAUCUGCCCUUGACUCUGGGAUAACUGCGGGAAACUGUAGCUAAUACCGGAUACGACACCUUGGGGCAUCCCGGGGUGUGGAAAGAAUUUCGGUCAAGGAUGAGCUCGCGGCCUAUCAGCUUAUUGGUGAGGUAAAGGCUCACCAAGGCGACGACGGGUAGCCGGCCUGAGAGGGUGACCGGCCACACUGGAACUGAGACACGGUCCAGACUCCUACGGGAGGCAGCAGUGGGGAAUAUUGCACAAUGGGCGCAAGCCUGAUGCAGCAACGCCGCGUGAGGGAUGACGGCCUUCGGGUUGUAAACCUCUUUUAGUAGGGAAGAAGCGAAAGUGACGGUACCUGCAGAAAAAGCACCGGCUAACCACGUGCCAGCCGCCGCGGUAA